CAGCAGCCGCGGGAAUACCGAGGGUGCGAGCGUUAAUCGGAUUUACUGGGCGUAAAGCGUGCGUAGGCGGCUUCUUAAGUCGGAUGUGAAAUCCCUGAGCUUAACUUAGGAAUUGCAUUCGAUACUGGGAAGCUAGAGUAUGGGAGAGGAUGGUAGAAUUCCAGGUGUAGCGGUGAAAUGCGUAGAGAUCUGGAGGAAUACCGAUGGCGAAGUCAGCCAUCUGGCCUAAUACUGACGCUGAGGUACGAAAGCAUGGGGAGCAAACAGGAUUAGAUACCCGUGUAGUCCCUGUCUCUUAUAC
rnacentral:rRNA from 1 species